rnacentral:rRNA from 1 species
UAAGUCCUACGGGGGGCAGCAGUGGGGGAUAUUGCACAAUGGGGGGAACCCUGAUGCAGCGACGCCGCGUGGGUGAAGGAGCGUUUCGGCGCGUAAAGCCCUAUCGGCAGGGAAGAAGGAGGACGGUACCUGACUAAGAAGCCCCGGCUAACUACGUGCCAGCAGCCGCGGUAAUAAGUAGGGGGCAAGCGUUAUCCGGAUUUACUGGGUGUAAAGGGGGCGCAGACGGCAGCGCAAGCCAGGGGUGAAAGCACGGGGGCCACCCCCGGGA